rnacentral:rRNA from 1 species
AGUGAACGCUGGCGGCGUGCCUAAUACAUGCAAGUCGAACGGAGUGGCGCACGGGUGAGUAAUGUAUAGCUAAUCUGCCCUACACUAGAGGACAACAGCUGGAAACGACUGCUAAUACUCUAUAGUGUAGGUUGAGGCUAUAUUGUAUCAGCUAGUUGGUGAGGUAAUGGCUCACCAAGGCUAUGACGCAUAACUGGUCUGAGAGGAUGAUCAGUCACACUGGACCGGAGACACGGUUCGGGCACAUACGGGAAGGAGCAGUAGGGAGUAUUACUCAAUGGGGGUAGCCCUGAAGCGGCAACGCGGCGUGGAGGAUGACAAUUUUCGGAGCGUAAACUCCUUUUGAUAGGGAAGCGGUACCUGACGAAUAAGCACCGGCUAACUCCGUGCCAGCAGCCGCGGUAAUAC